rnacentral:lncRNA from 1 species
GCUGACAUGCUUAGUACUACCUGAUCGAUAUAGACAUUUACUGCAGCCAAAGUCUAUAUGGAAUGCAGAUGAGACGCCUGAAAAUUUCUCGCUUGUGGAGCAUAUAUUGCACCUAGAGCCAUUAGAAGUAAGUACAAAUUUCACUUAUCUGUCUUUCUUUGAGAUUCUUGUCAAAAUUGUUCAGAAUCUUGUGUAAGGCUUGGGCUAGUAAAACAAAAAUCUAAAAUCUAAAUCUGGAAGUGAUGUUUAAUGCUAUCGCUUAACAUCAUUCUAUCAAGAACAUUAGAAUUAUUUUAGUGCAAGUGGUAAAUGACAAAUUCUAGAUGUAUAACCUACCACAUAGAUACCCUAAGAAUGAAAUUCACAGAGAAAAUGAUGGGAAACUAAUAGUAUACAAGAUGUGAAGAUACAAAAGAAGCGAUUGAAGAGAGACUGGUAUACUUUUAGUUUAAACAUGCAUUAUAUUUAUGUCUGAUCUCUUAACGCCCCCUAAAGGCUCUUUAUGAUGUCUCUAUUUCAGGUGGGAUACAACUGUUUACGAUUGCUAUUCUCUCUUCGAAAACUCUCUUUGGAAUUAUUUUGUUAUGUAUAUUCCUAUCUGCUAUUAAAACUUCAAAAUCU